rnacentral:lncRNA from 1 species
AGGAGGUCGUGUCCCAGCCAGAAGCAGGAAGCCCUUGCAAUAUCUUGAGAGACCCUAUUUUUGCUGGCUUUCUAGGCAAGUUGUGCAGACCGAAGAACUUCUGAUAUCCAGAUUUCACUUAGCGGAAAAAUGAGAGGACUUAGUGCUCUUACUGUCAUUUCAGAAAAACAUCGAUGUUGGGAGAACGGUGACUGAGGAAUGACUGCACUUGACCCCUCCCUCGUAUCUGAGGUGAAGCCAUUCACCACCACUAUCUCACUUUCAUCUCUAGCAUCAUUUUUCAUCCUGUCUUGUUAUUAA